rnacentral:lncRNA from 1 species
GAUAGUUCUCCUGGACUCUUUACCUCUUUUAUAAGGAUAGUAGUAACAAUUAUGUUUAAGUUUUACAAAAACUAAUUUGUCAUCAGUGGAUAAGAUAGUCUAGAUUAUUGAUGAAUUAAACAAUAGAUUGGAUUUCACAUCAAAGAGAGAGAAGACUUCUUGACCAUAUUUAAGAGUAGGAAUUAAGUAAAAUACUUAGUCUUUCUUCAAUUCGUAUUGCUUACUCCAUAUGCCUGCUUAAGAAAUAUUCAUGUAAUAUAGUGAUUGUAUUCCUGCUUCUUCCAGCAAUUUAGUCCCUUCCAAAUUUAUUUGUUUUGGACUUGCUUGUCUAUCUUAAGUUUUGUCAGAAAUCUGAUUUGAGAUUGUGCAAUGUGAGGUCUACUUGUUGAAUACAUUUAAAAAUAUAUGGUAUAUAUUUGUAUCAGAGAAUGAAGACUUGUCACUAUUUUUUUCUGAGUUAUAUUGGUAGAAUAAUUCAUUUUGUGAUUUUGCUGUAGUUCUGUUUUGAUUAUUACCCUUUUGAGAUGUUGUUACCUGUUAAGAAUGCUGAAUGCCGUUUUUUAAAAUUAGACUUGACCUGAGUUGAUAGCAAAAUUAGAUUUAAAUUAUAUUGUCUAAUAAGAUUUCAGGUCAGACUUUUUUUUGUUCUUCAGAAGGUUAGAAUAAUGCAAAAUAUGGUAGGAAUUUAGUGGAAGUAAGAGUGAAUUACAGAGAGAAUUCCAUGUGUAUCUAUAG